AUUGUGGCAUUUGCUUGCCAAGUUAGACCAAUUAUUUGAACGCACAACGAAGGGUGGAGGAAAGGUUUCAUAGCUUUGCUGCAUUGGAAACAAAGAUAAAAUAAUGAAAUAAAAAUAACAGUUGCUACUUUCUUGUGAUUUUGUUCUCUCCCGUUUAACGCUGACACCUAAAACAUUCCCAUCACACACAGCAAAGAACAAUUCAUUCAUUCGCAGUUAGGUCCAUCUUGGCGAAAUCCCCCAUCCAAACUCAUCAUGUCCACAUGUUCUUUGAUGAAUCUCUGUCGUGCCAACCACGAUAAAUAUACCACUCCACUUCUACAUGUAUGUGCUCAACACUUUUGAUUUUUGGCAUGUCCUGAUUCUUUCUUCCGCAGCUGAAACAUCUAACAGCCAAAU
rnacentral:ribozyme from 1 species